GACGAACGCUGGCGGCGUGCCUAACACAUGCAAGUCGAACGGGGUCCAACCAGUAGCAAUACUGGGGAAGACCUAGUGGCGAACGGGUGAGUAACACGUGAGGAACCUGCCCCGAAGACCGGGAUAACCCUCCGAAAGGAGAGCUAAUACCGGAUACCUCCACCGGACCGCAUGAUCUGGUGAAGAAAUGGAUUCCGCUUCGGGAGGGCCUCGCGGCCUAUCAGCUUGUUGGUGGGGUAACGGCCCACCAAGGCUUCGACGGGUAGCUGGUCUGAGAGGACGAUCAGCCACACUGGGACUGAGACACGGCCCAGACUCCUACGGGAGGCAGCAGUGGGGAAUCUUGCGCAAUGGGCGAAAGCCUGACGCAGCAACGCCGCGUGGGGGAUGAAGGCUCUCGGGUCGUAAAACCCCUUUCAGCAGGGACGAAAACUGACGGUACCUGCAGAAGAAGCUCCGGCCAACUACGUGCCAGCAGCCGCGGUAACACGUAGGGAGCAAGCGUUGUCCGGAUUUAUUGGGCGUAAAGAGCUCGUAGGUGGUUCGGUAAGUCAGGUGUGAAACCUCCAGGCUCAACCUGGAGACGCCACUUGAUACUGCUGUGACUGGAGUCCGGUAGGGGGAGCGUGGAAUUCCUGGUGUAGCGGUGAAAUGCGCAGAUAUCAGGAGGAACACCAGCGGCGAAGGCGGCGCUCUGGGCCGGUACUGACACUGAGGAGCGAAAGCGUGGGUAGCAAACAGGAUUAGAUA
rnacentral:rRNA from 1 species